GCAGAGCCAGCUUCAGUUAGCUCCAGUUUCAGCAUAGCAGCUUGCUGAAGGCUAUGAAAGGGUCGUGUUUUUUCCUGUCUGCCGUAUCCAUGUCAGGGGCCUGGAGAGCCAACUGACUCUCCUGUCAGACAUGGGAAGAAUUCCUUAUGUCCCGGAGCUUCCUGUUUUUGUUUUUGUUUUUUUUUCCUAUUUUAUCUCCCAUUGGCAAAAAUGUGCUGGUCACAGGCUCAGAGCUACGCUUCGGGACCGGAAGAGAUCAUCUCUAGAUGGCUGCAACUUCACAAGGUGUCAAGAAUCAAAGCAUAUCCCUCAUCUUUUGGCAACUAAGGGUGGAGUUAAAGGUUUCCCAGCAGCUCUUGGAAAUGCUAUAGAGAACAGAAUGAUUACAUGAAUCAAAACAUCAG
rnacentral:lncRNA from 1 species